AGAAAUUCGAUUUGGUGAUUUCUUGCUGGUUCUUAGCGUCUGCCAAUGUUCUCCAUUCCUGGAUUCCAAAUGGAAAGAAGCUUAAGAUGGCUAUAUUUCCCAGAAAGGUUGAAAUGUUUGUGUUUGUUUCUGAUUACUAAUAUCACCAGAGGGGAUGGACACAGGGAUUGAAUCUAAGAUUUCAUGGCUACAGGACAUUCCAAGAUGAAGAAACUCCCUUUAUUAAUGCUGGUCAACAUCUUCCUCUGCAGUAUAUAGCCUUAAAGGAGGGUGUGGUCAACUACAGACAGCCUGCCAAAUAGAGCCUGCAGCAUGGUUUUGUACAGCUCCAAGAUAAUACAAUUAAAGUCAAUAUUAUAUCCAUGUUUGGUUGGAUGGAUGAUUCUAG